GGGGGCCCCGCGGUGCUGCCCUUCUGCGUUGCUUCCUCUCCACCUUCUUAGGGCCGGGUCAUCCCGUAUCUGAGCUCCAGGGGCCUUUCUGCCUCCCUGCCUGGCCCCUCCUGGUUUUCUAAGGCCCUCCUCUAGGCCAGGCCUCAAGCUGGGCGCUGGUGCCGGGCACAGAGCGGGCUCAGAGGGUGCAGGGAGUGUGGACAGAUAGUGUUCAACCCAUCAAGCCUCCCCGGAGGAGCUGAUUUUCAAGUUGGGCCUGGGGUCAUGCACGUGCCACACUGACGGAGCAUCGGUGUGCAGGGAGGCAGGGGUUGGGCAGGCCUGGGUCUCCAUGAGGGGGUGCCUUGUGCCAAGAUCCAGCUUGAGGUAACGCACCUGAGGCUUCCUCUGCAGAGCGGCCCGGUGGACGAGAUUCUCCCUGGCAGAAGACAUCCUGGGGGCUGGUGGGCCCUCGGCCUCAGCGGCCUCCUCUGUGAACCGGGCUGUGGUGCCCCCUUCUCCGGCUUGUGGGGAGUAACAGAACACAGCGCUGGAAACGUGCACGCAGUGCUGGCCUCCUCAAGUCUCCCUUCCUCCCCAGCGGGACAACCGGAAGUCUGCCAGAACUCUUGCCUGAUAAACGCCAGAAAUCCACGCCCAGGCUGGGGGGCGGAGGGGGAUAAUCUGGGUUCCAGGUCAGUGUGGGAAAGCCAUUUGCCGGGAGAUUGCGCUGGAGGAAGGGUCACUCGACCUGCCGUCGCAGGCGCCCUGUCGGUGGGGCUUUGCAAGCACCGUGUGCAUUUUGAUACUCGCCCUCCAAAAUGGGCAGAUCUGGAAAUACUGUCCCCAUUUGAAACUUGGGGAAACUGAGUCCCGCAGACAGUGGGGUCUUCAACCGGAGAUUGGAAUAGAUCUCGAUCGGCGCCUUCACCCUGCUCAGAUCUCGGGGUGGGGGUGCUAUGAGAAGUCAGAAGUUAGCAGGGUAAGGGCACCAUUGCCCGAGGGCGCCAUUAAGGGGGAGCAGGUCGCGCCCGCGGGCGAGCCGGCCACGUGACACCCAAGGCCCGCCACCACGUGGGCCGGACUGGGCGGUGCAGCUCCCUCUGGCCCCGCGGCCCCACCCCCGGUGGGGGGGCCCCGACUGCAGUUCCCGCGGCCCUUCCCGGGGACAGGUGAGGGCUCGCGGUUGCGCAGGGCCCCUCCUCUUCGGCGUCUCCCAGGAGUGGCGCACCCCGGAAACUGGGUCGACCUGCCUGGGCCUGGGGUGGAGUUCCAGGCGCCGGCUCUCAGCUAGGCAGAAGUCCUGGGCAGUGCCUAGAUGGGCGGCUCUGAACUGCCCUAGGACUGCGGACUGGCUGGGUGUGGGUCAUAGACAUGGCCCAGCUGCUGGCUUUUGACCUCAAUGUCCCCGAGACGCUGGAGGAUCAGGGCAGCCAGGAGCCCAGCCCCUAUGAUGAGAGCGACGUGCACGACUCCUUCCACCGGAUCAUCCAGGAGCAGACCCAGUGGGCGGCCGCGCAGGCGCUGGAGCUGCAGCCGAGGGAGCCGGGCGCCGGAACCCAGGCGGCCUCAGGCAGUGCCAAGGGUGCCCCUGUCCAUAGUUCGGCCACACUCCGCAUCUUGGCCAGCAUGCCCAGUCGUACCAUUGGCCGCAGCCGGGGGGCCAUCAUCUCCCAGUACUACAGCCGCACGGUGAGGCUGCGGCGCAGGACGGGCCGGCCCCAGCUCGGGGGCUCCGGGCGCUCAGCCCGGCCCAGCCUCCGCCUGUACGACCUGGAGCUGGACUCGGCAACCCUCCAGGAGGAGGAGAGGCAGAUGCUCCUGGUGAGGGAGCUUCAAAGCCUGACAGUGACCCAGCGAGACCACAUGCUCCAGGGGAUGCCCUUGAGCCUGGCUGAGAAACGCUGCCUGCGAGAGAAGAGCCAGACCCCAAGGGGGAAGCGGAGGGGCUGGCGGGGCCAUCGAGGGCUCCGCUGCUGGAGCUGGCUCUGGGACACCUGUGUCCUGGCCUUGCACAACCUGGGGCUCCGGCUGCUCUGGGGGCUGCACGCCCUGAGGCCAUGGCGCUACGCCCUGAAGCGGAUUGGGGGCCAGUUCGGCUCCAGCGUGCUCUCCUAUUUCCUCUUCCUCAAGACCCUGCUGGCCUUCAACGCCCUCCUGCUGCUGCCGUUGCUGGCCUUCAUCGUGGGUGUGCAGGCUGCCUUCCCGCCCGCCCCCCCGGGCCCUGGGCCUGCCUUCACGGGGCUCGAGCUCCUCACCGGCGGGGUGAGGGCUUGGUCGGGCUGGCGGGGGCUCCUGUCUUCUGCCCUGCCCCUCCGGUCGCAGCUUCCCCGUCGGACCCCACCCUGCACUGUACCGGGACCCCAGGGCUCCUUCUCCCACACUGUCAUGUACUACGGCUACUACAGGAAUGCCACGCUGAACCAGCCCUGUGCCCCACCGCUGGACGGCAGCCAGUGCACCCCUGAGGCGCACGGCCUGCCUUACAACAUGCCCCUGGCCUACCUCUUCACUGUGGGCAUGGUCUUCUUUAUCACCUGCAUCACCCUGGUGUACAGCAUGUCGCGCUCUUUUGGGGAGAGCUACCGGGUGGGCAGCACCCUGGGGGUCCACGCCAUCACUGUUUUCUGCUCCUGGGACUACAAGGUGACUCAGAAGUGGGCCUCCCGCCUCCAGCAUGACAACAUCCGGACCCAGCUGAAGGCUCACUGGCACCCGCAGGAGCUGCUGGCUGAGUGGCAGCUGCGGCAGGGCCCCCGGAGCACGUGUGGGCGGCUGCGGCAGGUGGCCGUGCUGGUGCUCGUGUGGCUGCUGUGUCUGGGAACCACGCUGGGCUGUGCUGUGGCUGUCUACGCCUUCUCUGAGCUCCUGACCCAGCAGAGCCCCGUGUCGGCUGAGCGGGAGGGGGCCCUGCUGGCCCUGCCCUUGGUGGUCUGCCUUCUCAACCUGGGGGCUCCCUACCUGUUCCGUGGCCUGGCCGCCCUGGAGCGGCAUGACUCCCCGGGGCUGGAGGUGUACGUGGCCAUCUGCAGGAACCUCAUCCUCAAGAUGGUCAUCCUGGGGAUCCUCUGCUAUCACUGGCUGGGCCGCAGGGUGGGCGCCCUGAAGGACCAGUGCUGGGAGAAUUUCGUGGGCCAGGAGCUGUACCGGCUCACGGUGGUGGACUUCCUUCUCACGCUGCUGGACACGCUGUUUGGGGAGCUGCUGUGGAGGCUCAUCUCCGAGAAGAAGUUUAAGAGGAGGGGCAAGCCUGAGUUUGACAUUGCCCGGAAUGUUCUGGAUCUGAUUUAUGGGCAGACCCUGACCUGGCUGGGGGUCCUGUUCUCACCCCUCCUCCCUGCUGUGCAGUCAGUCAAGCUGCUGUUGCUCUUCUAUGUCAAGAAGACCAGCCUGCUGGCCAACUGCCGGGCGCCCCGCAGGCCCUGGCUGGCUUCCCGCAUGAGCACCGUCUUCGUCUCGCUGCUCUGCUUCCCCUCCUUCCUGGGUGCCGCCAUCUUCCUCUGCUAUGCCAUCUGGCAGGUGAAGCCCUCAAGCACCUGCGGCCCCUUCCGGGGCCUGGACACCAUGUACGAGGCGGGCAAGUUGUGGGUGCGCCGCCUGGAGAAGGCGGGCCCCAGGGUCUCCUGGCUGCCGUGGGUCCACCAGCACCUGGUGGAGAAUACCUUCCUCACCUACCUGGCGUCAGCCCUGCUGCUUGCUGUCAUCUACCUCAACAUCCAGGUGGUGAAGGGCCAGCGGAAGGUCAUCUGCCUCCUCAAGGAGCAAAUCAGCAAUGGACCCUGUUCAGUGCCCGCAGUGUACAGAAUGAAGUCAAAAUCGGCUCGGGAUUCAGGAUGUUUUAUUAAGCCUCCCAUCAUGCUGAGAACGAGUUACUGUCGUGCCGGGUCCGGGUCCCUGGGGCUGGUGCAUUCCUGGGCAGGGCAAGUGCUGCCUGGAGCAGGACCCUGGCCUCACCCCAGCCCUGUCCUGCCCGGUCCCGGCUGGCUGGCUGGGGCUCGGACCUCCUCACCCCCAGGGCUCCAUCAUUUUGACCUCGUUUUCUCUUUUUCCUCUUGCUCCUGCAGUUUGCACUGUGUGCUGAAUGCUGAGCCGUCUUGGGGGCCGGCUGUGCCCGAGGGCCCCCGGGCACCCCCACAGGGACCUGGCCGCAGCUCUCCCCCGGCUGUACCUCCCGGUGGACCGCUGCCUUAGAGAGGCCUUGCGGCUGGGUGCAGGGUGUCAGCCCGGGCAGGACGGGGCUGGGGUGCAGCAAGCGUGGGACCUGCUGCUGGCUGAUUGGGGCACGGUCAGCUCUCCCCAGGCAGGAAGAUCCCUUAGGACAGCUCCCCCUUUUACGGGGUUAUGAGUAAUGCAGUACAAGUUAUCCUGUCUCCCUUUCACAAUGGUGAAAUGCGCCUUGCCAAGAACCCAGGGAGCAGAGCUCAAGCCGGGCAUUUUGGCUGAGGAGGGUGCCCUGGAAGCAGGUUUUUGUCAACUGGCUCUCGCCCUGCUGUGUGGUGCUUCAGGGGUGUGGGUAGGGUGGCGGGUGUAUACAAGCAUCGGGAGAAUUCCAGCUUCCUGCGCCAUUUCUCUGGGAGCCGACAGGCUGUUUUCCAGGUGGGCUCUUGCUGCAGACGGUGCCCACCCACGGCCGAGCCCUGCCCCAGAUCCGAGCGCUUGGGGCUGCAGGUCUCAGCUCAGCCGGCUCCUGGGUGGCUUUCGCUAGCUGGGCAGGGAGGCACUCAGGGGCACAGCCCUCUGUACCCACCCACAGCCCAGGGAGGUCACUUAAGGAGGUCCUUCCCUGCAGACAGUCUGAGACACCCUCCUGGGCAAGCCGUGGUCCCAGGUGCGCAGGACACAUCCUGACAGUCGCUCUGUUCUCUCUGUGCUGACUCACUGCAGGGAAUCCAGUCUGGCCCCGGGAUUGACAGUCGCCCAAAUCCACCUGGUGGUUAUGUGCACUGGUUACUAGGCUCACUGCUUUGUGUGCUUUUCACUCAGUUGUUGAAGGAGCCCUGGGUCGGCCAGUACCACCCUCAGAAGCAUCCUCAUCCUAAUCUUAGCAGCUGUGAAUAUGCCAUGUUAGGUGGCAAAGGGGGAUUAGGGUUGCAGGUGGAAUUAAAGUUGGCAGCCAGCUGACCUAGAGAUGGGGAGGUAUCCUGGACUGUCUGGGUGGCACGGUGUCACCAGGAGUCCUUCCAAGUGGAGGAGGGAGGCGGGAGAGUCAGGGUCCAAGGGUCAUGCUGGGAGAAAGACUCGAGGCCACCAUCGGCUCUGAGGAUGGGAGGGGCUGCGAGCCAACGGACACAGGUGGCCUCCAGACGGUGGGACAGGCAAGGAAAGAUGCUCCCCUAGCGCCCCAGAAGGAACCAGCCUGUGGAUACCUUGGUUUUAGCCCAGUGAGACCUAUUUUGGACUUCUGACCACCAGAACUGAAAGAUGAAUUUGUGUUGUUUUAAAGCCACUAAGUUUGUGAUAAUUGGUUAGAGCCACAAAACAAACCAAUAUAAGCCUGUGAUGCAGACGUUUUUAACCCCCUUUUACAGAUGGUGACUCAGGUUAGAUAGAAGGUAACUUGUCUAAGGCAGAGUUAAUAAGCGGCAGGGCAGGUUUUAAAUUGAGUCAGGCUGGCUCUGUGGCCCUCCCUGUGUGGCUUAUUACAUUUCUCUUUUUACUUUGGCCACUAGGAAGCUCAAGUCUAUCCAAUCACCUACCUACCCCUCUCUCUUGUCAUCUUUUUAUCUAUAUGCCACUCCCUGGCUCCCUUAUCCUUUUUUGGUGCCUCUUUCCCCCUCUUGCUUAUGAUGUCAGAUAUUCCUUGUGAGCUCCCCCAAAAGCAGCCUGACAGGACAGUUCUGGACGGAUGGGCCACUUCUCUCACCCUUUGCGUUCUGGCCUUUCUAGGAGGGGGAAGACAAAAUCUUCUUAAUCAACAAACUUCACUCUGUCUACGAGAGGAAGGAGAGGAGCCGGGCUGGGAGAACCCAGGAGGCCAUGAAGCUCGUGGACGAUCGUGAGGCCUUCUAGGAUGGCGAAGGGCUAGCAGCCCUGUGUCUGCUCACCAGCAUGCUCUGCACCUCCUCACCCUGGUCUGGCAGCCCUGCAGGCACAGGCGGUGGCCCAAGACCACGCACCCACUUUAGGUGACCCCACUGGGGCACAGCACCUGUCUGAGGCUGGAGCUGGAGGUUGGGCAAGUGGGGCUGGGGCACCCCUGGUGGACUGGGGUGCCACCUUCCUGGGACUCUUAUUCUGAUUAAACAUGUUUUACAGAA